rnacentral:lncRNA from 1 species
GCCAUUUCUUUUAAAGAAGAGACUCAAAUUGCAAAAAUAAUAGACCCCACAUUGUCUGGAUUUGUUCUUGAUCAGAAUCACUUGAAUUGCAACAAAGAAACAAUAUGUUCCCCAAUUUGUUCAAUAAAAGUACUUAAAAUUAUACACAAUGUAUUCUUUCUAACAUUUUUGCAACUCAAUAUAUUCAAGCCUUUGUUCCUAAAUACUGGAAAAAUGUAAGUGAGAG